AGCCGACGCUUAUUCUUGAGGUACCUUCAUAUUUAUUCCCUCAAAAAAGGAGUUUACAAUCAAAAGACCGUCAUCCCCCACGCGGUGUUGCAUCGUCAGGGUUUCCCCCAUUGCGAAUAAUUCCUCA
rnacentral:rRNA from 1 species